rnacentral:rRNA from 1 species
CGGACGGUGAGUAACGCGUGGAAAACCUGCCGUAUACUGGGGGAUAACACUUAGAAAUAGGUGCUAAUACCGCAUAAGCGCACAGCUUCGCAUGAAGCGGUGUGAAAAACUCUGGUGGUAUACGAUGGUUCCGCGUCUGAUUAGCUAGUUGGUGGGGUAAUGGCCUACCAAGGCAACGAUCAGUAGCCGGCCUGAGAGGGUGAACGGCCACAUUGGGACUGAGACACGGCCCAAACUCCUACGGGAGGCAGCAG